rnacentral:rRNA from 1 species
AGAGUUUGAUCCUGGCUCAGGACGAACGCUGGCGGCGUGCCUAACACAUGCAAGUCGAACGGAGAAUUUUAUUUCGGUAGAAUUCUUAGUGGCGAACGGGUGAGUAACGCGUAGGCAACCUGCCCUUUAGACGGGGACAACAUUCCGAAAGGAGUGCUAAUACCGGAUGUGAUCAUCGUGCCGCAUGGCAGGAUGAAGAAAGAUGGCCUCUACAAGUAAGCUAUCGCUAAAGGAUGGGCCUGCGUCUGAUUAGCUAGUUGGUAGUGUAACGGACUACCAAGGCGAUGAUCAGUAGCCGGUCUGAGAGGAUGAACGGCCACAUUGGGACUGAGACACGGCCCAAACUCCUACGGGAGGCAGCAGUGGGGAAUCUUCCGCAAUGGACGAAAGUCUGACGGAGCAACGCCGCGUGAGUGAUGAAGGAUUUCGGUCUGUAAAGCUCUGUUGUUUAUGACGAACGUGCAGUGUGUGAACAAUGCAUUGCAAUGACGGUAGUAAACGAGGAAGCCACGGCUAACUACGUGCCAGCAGCCGCGGUAAUACGUAGGUGGCGAGCGUUGUCCGGAAUUAUUGGGCGUAAAGAGCAUGUAGGCGGCUUAAUAAGUCGAGCGUGAAAAUGCGGGGCUCAACCCCGUAUGGCGCUGGAAACUGUUAGGCUUGAGUGCAGGAGAGGAAAGGGGAAUUCCCAGUGUAGCGGUGAAAUGCGUAGAUAUUGGGAGGAACACCAGUGGCGAAGGCGCCUUUCUGGACUGUGUCUGACGCUGAGAUGCGAAAGCCAGGGUAGCGAACGGGAUUAGAUACCCCGGUAGUCCUGGCCGUAAACGAUGGGUACUAGGUGUAGGAGGUAUCGACCCCUUCUGUGCCGGAGUUAACGCAAUAAGUACCCCGCCUGGGGAGUACGGCCGCAAGGUUGAAACUCAAAGGAAUUGACGGGGGCCCGCACAAGCAGUGGAGUAUGUGGUUUAAUUCGACGCAACGCGAAGAACCUUACCAAGUCUUGACAUCCUGCGACGGUGCUGGAAACAGUACUUUCCUUCGGGACGCAGAGACAGGUGGUGCAUGGUUGUCGUCAGCUCGUGUCGUGAGAUGUUGGGUUAAGU